AACGAACGCUGGCGGCAUGCCUAACACAUGCAAGUCGAACGAGACCUUCGGGUCUAGUGGCGCACGGGUGCGUAACGCGUGGGAAUCUGCCCUUGGGUUCGGAAUAACAGUUGGAAACGACUGCUAAUACCGGAUGAUGACGUAAGUCCAAAGAUUUAUCGCCCAAGGAUGAGCCCGCGUAGGAUUAGCUAGUUGGUGAGGUAAAGGCUCACCAAGGCGACGAUCCUUAGCUGGUCUGAGAGGAUGAUCAGCCACACUGGGACUGAGACACGGCCCAGACUCCUACGGGAGGCAGCAGUGGGGAAUAUUGGACGAUGGGCGAAAGCCUGAUCCAGCAAUGCGGCGUGAGUGAUGAAGGCCUUAGGGUUGUAAAGCUCUUUUACCCGGGAUGAUAAUGACAGUACCGGGAGAAUAAGCUCCGGCUAACUCCGUG
rnacentral:rRNA from 1 species